CUGAGUUUCAUUUCCUCCCAGAACACCCAUGGGGGUGUUAAGGCAGCAUUAGAGGACUUGUUUAAGGACCCUGCUCAGUCAACAGACCUGCCGAGAGAGGGGGAGAGACGAUGCUUUACCCCCAGAUUCCUCUGAACACCAGAGGACUCCAGAGGCGAGCGAGUGGAUAUGUAUUGAACAUGACCACAACCAGGUUGCACCUAAUCCUGCCAGUUCCACACCUCAGAGCAAAAAAGAGUCUUACGGUGAGAACUCCUGCAUCCGGCUGAAUCCCGCCGUUGGCUACAGGCAGGCAGUCCGCUCCACACAGCCUCCGCCUCUGCCAGAGCUUCUGAAGCAGACAGCUGUGGCCCCCAGGUCGACUCCCUGAAUACAAAGGAGCCCCAUCAAGGCCUUUAGAGUGGAGUCAGUUAGUGGAAUUAACGGAGCAGUCUGUGGCAGAGGGGAGAUGGCCUGCUUCACUCUGUGGCCCUCCACAAACACAGCUUUCAUGUGCUUGCAACAGCAGCCCCCUGACUAACCAGGCAGUGACAACACGCCAGUGCCGUUAAUGAGGAUUCAAAAACCCCUGAAGUUCAGAUUGCUGAGGCGCCACAGAGCUCCUUCUAUCAGAACACAGAGAACAGAUUGAGGGUGAGAAUGAAGAUGUGCUGGAGGAGGAGAGAGGAAAAAGAGCACAGCAGGCUGCCUUCUUCCCGGAGUCAACCAAAGACUUCAUUUUCAUAUUCAAUAGAUCGACAAUCCUUUACCUCUGCAAGUAUUCAAUAUCCUCUCUGAAGAGGAAAAGCAUUGUGUUUGGCAUUAUAGUGUCAAAGAGGACAGCAGAAAAGAACACUAAGCACUUUGAUAAGAGGACAUUAUAUUGAAGACUUCCUUCAGAAAACUUUUCAUUCUACUGAUCUAUUAGCAAACCAUACUGAUGCUACAGAUGAGAGACGGUAGAACA